GAUGAACGCUGGCGGCGUGCCUAAUACAUGCAAGUCGAGCGAACGGACGAGGAGCUUGCUUCUCUGACGUUAGCGGCGGACGGGUGAGUAACACGUGGAUAACCUACCUAUAAGACUGGGAUAACUUCGGGAAACCGGAGCUAAUACCGGAUAAUAUCUUGAACCGCAUGGUUCAAUAGUGAAAGACGGUCUUGCUGUCACUUAUAGAUGCAUCCCCGCUGCAUUAGCUAGUUGUUAAGGUAACGGCUUACCAAGGCAACGAUGCGUAACCGACCUGAGAGGGGGAUCGGCCACACUGGAACUGGGACACGGUCCAGACUACUACGGGAGGCAGCAGUAGGGAAUCUUCCGCAAUGGGCGGAAGCCUGACGGAGCAACGGCGAGUGAGUGAUGAAGGUCUUCGGAUCGUAAAACUCUGUUAUUAGGGAAGAACAUAUGUGUAAGUAACUGUGCACAUCUUGACGGUAACUAAUCAGAAAGCAACGGCUAACUACGUG
rnacentral:rRNA from 1 species